rnacentral:rRNA from 1 species
GAAAGUAAUGAAGGGCGUACGGUGGAUGCCUAGGCUCUUACAGGCGAUGAAGGACGUGAUAAGCUGCGAAAAGCCGCGGUGAGGCGCAAAUGGCCCUUGACCCGCGGAUCUCCGAAUGGGACAACCCAAUAUCUUGAAGAGAUAUUAUCCCGCCGAUGCGGGAGGCGAACGCGGGGAACUGAAACAUCUUAGUACCCGCAGGAAAAGAAAAUAAAGAAUGAUUCCCCCAGUAGUGGCGAGCGACCGGGGAAGAGCCCAAACCGACGUUGUCUCGGCAUCGUCGGGGUUGUAGGACCGCGCCAUCGCAAGAAAGGCCGUGAGUGGAAGCGACUGGAAAGCCGCGCCAUAGAGGGUGACAGCCCCUUACACGAAGCAGCCAGAAGCGUAGCGGACUCCUGAGUAGCGCGGGACACGAGUAAUCCUGUGUGAAUCCGCCGGGCCCAUCCGGCAAGGCUAAAUACUCGUAAGAGACCGAUAGUGAACCAGUACCGUGAGGGAAAGGUGAAAAGUACCCCUUGCAGGGGAGUGAAAGAGUUCCUGAAACCGUACGCCUACAAGCGGUCGGAGCAUCUUGAAUGAUGUGACGGCGUGCCUUUUGCAUAAUGACCCUACGAGUUGCCGUCACCAGCGAGGUUAAGUGCGAUGACGCACCGAGCCGCAGCGGAAGCGAGUCUUAAAAGGGCGCGAUAGUUGGUGGAGGCAGACGCGAAACCGAGUGAUCUACACUUGUCCAGGAUGAAGUCCCGGUAACACGGGAUGGAGGUCCGCACCAAUAAGCGUUGAAAAGCUUCUGGAUGAGGUGAGUGUAGGAGUGAAAGGCCAAUCAAACUCGGAGAUAGCUCGUACUCCCCGAAAGGCAUUUAGGUGCCGCCUGUGGCGUUCCCGACGUGAGGUAGAGCGACUGAUAGGAUGCGAGGGCUUCACCGCCUAUCAAGUCCUGACAAACUCCGAAUGCACGUCGGCCAAGCCAUGGAGUAAGGGCAUGGGUGCUAAGGUCCGUGCCCGAGAGGAGAAGAAUCCAGACCACCGGCUAAGGUCCCGAAAUACUGGUUAAGUUAGACUAACGCAGUCCGGCCCCCAAGACAGCUAGGAUGUUGGCUUGGAAGCAGCCAUUCAUUCAAAGAGUGCGUAACAGCUCACUAGUCGAGGAGCUGGGCGUGGAUAAUAAUCGGGUAUAAAACCAGUUACCGAAGCCGUGGGAUGCUUAAGCAUCGGUAGGGGAGCAUUGCAUGCGGCUUAGAAGGCGGGGCGUGAGCCCCUCUGGAGCGCAUGGAAACGCAAAUGUAGGUAUAAGUAACGACAAGGGGGGUGGGAUGCCCCCCCGCCGAAAGACCAAGGUUUCCUGAACAACGCUAAUCGGUUCAGGGUCAGUCGGGUCCUAAGCAUAAGCCGUAUGGCGAGGGCGAUGGACGAAACGGUUAAUAUUCCGUUACUGUCUUGGUGUGUGACGCGGCGACGGAGUAGUGACACGGCCGCCUCCUGACGGAAAAGGGGGUUGAAGCGCAAAGGUGUCGAGGAAGGCAGGCAAAUCCACCUUCCGAGCCGAAGCGCGAAAGUACGCCGGGCCCUUUGGGGCAAGGCGAUAGUGCCGGUAAUCAGACUUCCAAGAAAACCCGCUAAACUUCAGCACCAAGUCACCCGUACUCUAAACGGACACACGUGGUCGGGUAGAAUAUACUAAGGCGCUUGGGAGAUUCACGGUUAAGGAACUAGGCAAAUUGACCCCGUACCUUCGGAAUAAGGGGUCCUCGCUUUUGCGAGGCGCAGAGAAUAGGUCCAGGCAACUGUUUAACAAAAACACAGGGCUGUGCAAAUUUGAAAGAAGAAGUAUACAGCCUGACACCUGCCCGGUGCCGGAAGGUUAAGAGGAGAGCUCAUCAGCGAUGAGAAGGCUUGAAUUGAAGCCCCGGUAAACGGCGGCCGUAACUAUAACGGUCCUAAGGUAGCGAAAUUCCUUGUCGGGU